rnacentral:rRNA from 1 species
UACACAUCUGGAAGUGGCACCUCAAAUACGUUCUAGCGUAUAUCUUAUCUAUAUCGUAUAUACCUGUACUCUCACCUACAGGACGUGCGUCGCCGUCGACGUGCGUCGAUAGGCCGGCGUGGGCUCAACGUGCCACUACGCACGUCAAACUAAACGUUUUCGCGAUUUCGUCACUAUGUAUCACAUUAUGUCUCUCUAUGUGACGCAGCCCUGGCACGUCACCCGAGCCAGGUACCAUGAACAGACCGCGCCUGUUCUCUGCACGUGGCGCGCACCACGUCUCACCCGGUAGCCAAGAGACGUGCCGACCGGGGCCAGCAGACUUCGAUACAUGCCCUGACCCGGAACACCAAUCAGCGUAAACCACGCAGAGCGUGCUUAAGGAAAGGGGCAGAACCACCAACCACCCGCUUCUCGUUCCACUCGACGCUCUUGUCGUGGCCGCGGCCCCGACAAAGGACAAGGCCGACAGCUACGAGUACGGCUUGGAGCCUCACUGCUGCCUCCGCCCCAACCUGAGACUUUGCUAGAGUCGCCGUUGCCCAGGUCUCCGCACGCUCGGCGGCAAGCAAAACCCGCUCCCGCCACUGCGAAGAGCGGCCUAAGCCGGCAGCUUCGCGGAAGCGGCCUGUAAGCAGACAACCUAGUUCACCACCUGAACCGACUACAGGUCAGCAGGUCACGAAGGACGUUCUCGAAGUCACGACCACCGCCUCUACACCGUAGGCGUUUGGGACCCACGCGCUGAGUACGGCAGCAGAGCGUGUGUAGGCGGCUCAGGUCGGCGGCGUCACGGCGCAGCCUAAGGACGUGCCGUAAGUCAAGACCCCCGCACAUGGACGGCAGCCGCGCUCUGACGCUGUUAUGCGGCUGGUUCUCCAGGAGCACGCGGUCUACUCUCUAGACAUCAUCAACUAGCACACGGCGGCGAACUUCGACGUUAAUCUCCUAAGCGACUAUCCCCCUGACUCCACCAGCAGUUGGGCCACGAACCGUGGUAAAAACUAAGCGACCGUCUCCGCAUGGUUAAGAUGUUAGAGAUAAGGACCCAACUGUUUAUGUUCGAAGUGUCGUUGUGAAAGGAGUAUGUUUAAAAGCUCCAAGCAGUGUUCACCCGCUUCGGAAUAAAAUCACCGUUCAAUACACGCUUCGUUUGGUCAUGCGUUUCUUCGCUCUCACGUUUGGUAAACAACUUUCCGAUGUAGGGCGGACGUACGGGGUACUUGGAAAAACACUUCGUUAUAUCGUUUAACGUCAAGCUGACUUCGACUUCUUCCUAAGGUUCUCUUCUCUUGCUCCGACCCGCCCCAUCAAGAGGCUAUGUUAAUGGGAAACCUCCUCGUACGUUCAUUUCAGAUAUGGGCCUGUUACAUGCUCUACAAACCGGUCCGAAACAUAGCGAGACCAUCCAUACUACAACUCCUUCAACUCGCCCCGUAGUGGAUGGUGCACGCUGUACAACUUCGACUCUUCGCUCUCUUCACCACGGCACUUUACGUACACCAGUCACAGGUACUACCGACACGAUCCAUGUGUACGCUUACACCCGAGAAGCUCGUGUACCCCUACGAAACAACGGUACGAUAGUUCCAAAAUUAAGUAAACCCUCACUCUUUUUAUGGGUCUAAGGUACAGUACUUUUCCACCUGUCAUCUACGGGCGCUGUUAAGUGGUGAAGUGGAAGAGGUAAUGGUUUUCCUAGUUCCCGGAGGCGCCAAUAGGAGGAUGUCCGUAUGUCGUGAUGUGGACUGGCACGAGCUCAAACAGGUCGAACCACUAUCGUUACAGCUACGGAAACUAUCUCGUUACCUGUAGAACUAACGUCCGUUCCGUCUCGACUGACAAAACCGCCGCCAGUUCCUACCGUUUUCAAACCACCUGGUUUGAGUUUAACCCCUUAGUCGGUUAGGGUGAGUCUCCUACCCGUGUUCAAGAAGCGUGGGUCUGCUGUACACAAGAGUCUACAAGUAGAGGUGGCUCACACCCGAAUCAAGUCAAAGACCACUUCGACCGAGGUCAUACAGUGACAGCUGCAACGACGGCAGACUAUCCUUCUUCGUCUUCCCAUCCGGUUGGUGUCGCUCCCUGUUUGGACCUAUACUCCAGUUCCUGCGCGCCAGCUCCAAAACAUGCCAAACAUCCCUCUUUCCCGUGGGGCGUCCCCACUAGAAGGCUUCUUUGGAGCGUUUUAGGGAUGGACGCCGUUAACGCCACAUCGACCCGUGUUUUUUUGGUCAACAAAGUUGGGCCAGAACGGCAAACACUUCGCCGGAGCGCUGCCCGGUCAUCUCACUACAAGCCAAGUCGCGAACUUCGUCCAUGAGGGAGGCAAGCCUUAAUGAACAGCGCUUUUACCUACAUAGAUCUUGAUUUUAUGCAGAUCUAUGUAGGUAAAGACGCUGUUCAUUAAGGUUUGCCUCCCUCAUCAACUUAGGUUUUUAGGUUAGGUCUCAUCAAGCUAAAGGACGUAAAUACGAAUUAAACCCUGACACCAGACAAAAAGGUUAUUCGAAACACGGAACGACCUACCGUCAAAUUAAACUUAAGUACGAUAAUGAGAAUAGGAACCGCACACUAAAAUUAAAAGGUUAUUCCCUACAGU